rnacentral:rRNA from 1 species
GUGAGCAACCUGCCCUGGACUCUGGGAUAAGCGCUGGAAACGGCGUCUAAUACUGGAUAUGAGCCCCUAUCGCAUGGUGGGGGUUGGAAAGAUUUUUUGGUCUGGGAUGGGCUCGCGGCCUAUCAGCUUGUUGGUGAGGUAAUGGCUCACCAAGGCGUCGACGGGUAGCCGGCCUGAGAGGGUGACCGGCCACACUGGGACUGAGACACGGCCCAGACUCCUACGGGAGGCAGCAGUGGGGAAUAUUGCACAAUGGGCGAAAGCCUGAUGCAGCAACGCCGCGUGAGGGAUGACGGCCUUCGGGUUGUAAACCUCUUUUACCAGGGAAAAACCGAAAGUGACGGUACCUGCAAAAAAAGCCCCGGCUAACUACUUGCCACCACCCGCGGUAUUACUUAGGGCGCAAGCGUUAUC